rnacentral:rRNA from 1 species
UCGAACGGUAACGCGGGGCAACCUGGCGACGAGUGGCGAACGGGUGAGUAAUGCAUCGGAACGUGCCCAGUAGUGGGGGAUAGCCCGGCGAAAGCCGGAUUAAUACCGCAUACGACCUAAGGGUGAAAGCGGGGGAUCGCAAGACCUCGCGCUAUUGGAGCGGCCGAUGUCAGAUUAGGUUGUUGGUGGGGUAAAAGCCCACCAAGCCGACGAUCUGUAGCUGGUCUGAGAGGACGACCAGCCACACUGGGACUGAGACACGGCCCAGACUCCUACGGGAGGCAGCAGUGGGGAAUUUUGGACAAUGGGCGCAAGCCUGAUCCAGCCAUGCCGCGUGCGGGAAGAAGGCCUUCGGGUUGUAAACCGCUUUUGUCAGGGAAGAAAUCCUCUGGGCUAACACCCCGGGGGGAUGACGGUACCUGGAGAAUAAGCACCGGCUAACUACGUGCCAGCAGCCGCGGUAAUACGUAGGGUGCAAGCGUUAAUCGGAAUUACUGGGCGUAAAGCGUGCGCAGGCGGUUGUGCAAGACAGAUGUGAAAUCCCCGGGCUUAACCUGGGAACUGCAUUUGUGACUGCACGGCUGGAGUGCGGCAGAGGGGGAUGGAAUUCCGCGUGUAGCAGUGAAAUGCGUAGAUAUGCGGAGGAACACCGAUGGCGAAGGCAAUCCCCUGGGCCUGCACUGACGCUCAUGCACGAAAG